rnacentral:rRNA from 1 species
UACGUAGGGCGCAAGCGUUAUCCGGAAUUAUUGGGCGUAAAGAGCUCGUAGGCGGUUUGUCGCGUCUGCCGUGAAAGUCCGGGGCUCAACUCCGGAUCUGCGGUGGGUACGGGCAGACUAGAGUGAUGUAGGGGAGACUGGAAUUCCUGGUGUAGCGGUGAAAUGCGCAGAUAUCAGGAGGAACACCGAUGGCGAAGGCAGGUCUCUGGGCAUUAACUGACGCUGAGGAGCGAAAGCAUGGGGAGCGAACAGGAUUAG